AUUGAACGCUGGCGGCAGGCCUAACACAUGCAAGUCGAGCGGAUGAAGGGAGCUUGCUCCUGGAUUCAGCGGCGGACGGGUGAGUAAUGCCUAGGAAUCUGCCUGGUAGUGGGGGACAACGUUUCGAAAGGAACGCUAAUACCGCAUACGUCCUACGGGAGAAAGCAGGGGACCUUCGGGCCUUGCGCUAUCAGAUGAGCCUAGGUCGGAUUAGCUAGUUGGUGAGGUAAUGGCUAACCAAGGCGACGAUCCGUAACUGGUCUGAGAGGAUGAUCAGUCACACUGGAACUGAGACACGGUCCAGACUCCUACGGGAGGCAGCAGUGGGGAAUAUUGGACAAUGGGCGAAAGCCUGAUCCAGCCAUGCCGCGUGUGUGAAGAAGGUCUUCGGAUUGUAAAGCACUUUAAGUUGGGAGGAAGGGUUGUAGAUUAAUACUCUGCAAUUUUGACGUUACCGACAGAAUAAGCACCGGCUAACUCUGUGCCAGCCGCCGCCGUAAUAC
rnacentral:rRNA from 1 species